UACGUAGGGUGCAAGCGUUGUCCGGAAUUAUUGGGCGUAAAGAGCUCGUAGGCGGUCUGUCGCGUCUGCUGUGAAAACUCGGGGCUUAACCCCGGGCCUGCAGUGGGUACGGGCAGACUAGAGUGCGGUAGGGGAGACUGGAAUUCCUGGUGUAGCGGUGAAAUGCGCAGAUAUCAGGAGGAACACCGAUGGCGAAGGCAGGUCUCUGGGCCACUACUGACGCUGAGAAGCGAAAGCAUGGGGAGCGAACAGG
rnacentral:rRNA from 1 species